rnacentral:rRNA from 1 species
AAAGGGUGCGUAGGCGGCCUGUUAAGUCAGGGGUGAAAGACGGUAGCUCAACUAUCGCAGUGCCCUUGAUACUGAUGGGCUUGAAUUGACUAGAGGUAGGCGGAAUGUGACAAGUAGCGGUGAAAUGCUUAGAUAUUACAUGGAAUACCAAUUGCGAAGGCAGGUUACUACUAGUGGAUUGACGCUGAUGGACGAAAGCGUGGGGAGCGAACAGGAUUAGAUACCCUUGU